CAUCAACGCUUGAUGUGGAUUCUUCUCCAAAUAACCCUAAUUUUAUCUAAUAAAAUACAAGGAUUCGCAGAUCCCAAUAAAAGCGGCACGCAGGCCCUUUAAAAAAAAAUAUAUAUAUAUAUAUAUACAACCAUAAUUAAAUUACAAAUACACCCAUAAUCAAAUUACAAAUACAUCCAUAAUCACAUCACAGAUGUCUAAAGUCCAUGAUCAUCACCUAUCUAAAAACUAUGCAGAAAAUAAUAACCAAAUCGAUCUAAUCAUCGAUUAAAAAUUUGGAACUCAAUAAAAUAUUUUUCUCAAGUCUCCACAUAUUUAUUAUAUGGUGUACCUUCAAUAAAUCGUAUUACGUGCGACUUAAGAAAAAUAAUAUCGAUCUCAUCGAAAAAGGUUCCAAAAUUUCAAUCAAACCAUACAGAUCGUAAAUAUUUUAUAUAGACAUGAGAAUCGGCUCUGAUAUCACUGUAAGAAUUUAUCCGGCACAAAAAUCGCAGCGGAAAAUAAAAUUGUAUUUUCGAAAAACAAAAAUCCAUAUCACAUAUGAACCAAAAUAAAACAAAUCAAUCCAGUGCCGGUGGAUCAUUCUCAUAUUGCAAUGUAAAAUAAAAUCUAACCUAAACAGAUUUAAAGUUCAGGUUACAUUA
rnacentral:lncRNA from 1 species